rnacentral:rRNA from 1 species
CAGCAGCCGCGGUAAGACAGAGGAUGCAAGCGUUAUCCGGAAUGAUUGGGCGUAAAGCGUCUGUAGGUGGCUUUUCAAGUCCGCCGUCAAAUCCCAGGGCUCAACCCUGGACAGGCGGUGGAGACUACCAAGCUGGAGUACGGUAGGGGCAGAGGGAAUUUCCGGUGGAGCGGUGAAAUGCGUUGAGAUGUGGAAGAACACCAGUGGCGAAGGCGACUCUCUGGUCUGUAACUGACGCUGAGGAGCGAAAGCGUGGGGAGCGAACGGGAUUAGAUACCCCCGUAGUCCCUGUCUCUUAUAC